GCCCAGGUGGCCUAGUUGGUUAGGGCGCCAGACUCAUAGGGUAAUUUGAAGAGGCGCUUUCAGUCUCCUGAGAAAUCUGGAGGUCACGGGUUCGGAUCCCGUCCUGGGCA
rnacentral:tRNA from 1 species